AACGAACGCUGGCGGCAUGCCUAACACAUGCAAGUCGAACGAGACCUUCGGGUCUAGUGGCGCACGGGUGCGUAACGCGUGGGAACCUGCCCUUAGGUUCGGAAUAACUCCCCGAAAGGGGUGCUAAUACCGGAUAAUGUCUUCGGACCAAAGAUUUAUCGCCUUUGGAUGAGCCCGCGUUGGAUUAGCUAGUUGGUAGGGUAAAAGCCUACCAAGGCGACGAUCCAUAGCUGGUCCGAGAGGAUGAUCAGCCACACUGGGACUGAGACACGGCCCAGACUCCUACGGGAGGCAGCAGUGGGGAAUAUUGGACAAUGGGCGAAAGCCUGAUCCAGCAAUGCCGCGUGAGUGAUGAAGGCCUUAGGGUUGUAAAGCUCUUUUACCCGGGAUGAUAAUGACAGUACCGGGAGAAUAAGCUCCGGCUAACUCCGUG
rnacentral:rRNA from 1 species